UGCCUAUGACGGGCUGCUUCAAGGAUGGAUGAGACACGGGAAAAUUUGUGUGAUGCCUUUCUGUGCUUAUUGUCUUUCUUUCAUACCAUUGCCUCGGAGCUUGAACAUCGAUGCUACCUCAGAAUCUUUGACUUUGGACCUUCAAUCACUUGGGAUUGAGACUCAUUCGCCCCUUGAGAGUUGCACACCAUCAACACUGAAUCUCUUAGUAUCUGCGCACUUGGGAUGUGCUUUCCCCAGUCAGUCGCCAAAUACGAAACGUACGGGAGUGUGUAGACAUUCUUUGGAUGAUGUUAGUGCAGAGGUCAUGAAGGGAACCGCC
rnacentral:lncRNA from 1 species